CUUAAGCAUUCACCCUGGGCACGUUCCCUGUGAAGAAGGUGUUAUGAAAAUGUUUCAAAGGAAAAAGAAAAAUGCAGCUCAUUUCAAAAGAAGUAGAAUCUGGAGGUUACCCAGUCCUGAAAGAAAUACAGAUUUCUUCUCUUUUUAUUCCCUCUGUUUUAACUGUUAGACAUGAGUUGGCAUCCUUCUUGUGGGUGAAAAAUGAGGGAACAUACCAGCUUCCUUCAUCCUGAACCUGGAAGAGUCUCUUCUCUGUGAUUUGCUUUCCCCUGAAACACAGAUUCAUGCAUGACAGCUUCCAGCGUCACUUCAUCUCUGCUGGCCUCAUGUUUGAACCCAGAGCCAAAAUCAAACACAAAUUAAGAAUGUAGCUAAUCUUUGCUGAGCCUGCUCGACCAUUGGCAUGCCUCCAUGUUGGGCUGUGGUGUGCAGGUUUGGCCCAUAUUGGGUGCAGGGUGGGAGGUCUCACUGUGAGUUUUCUGGAAAGGAGUGUGUGUUCUAUAGGCUUUGAGGACCAGGGCAGCCACGGCCACAGCUCCCACUGGCCAGAGCUCACCUACCCAUUCCGUCCCCACGGUCCCCUCCCAGCAGGGGGUGGGCACAGGAGAAGAGCGUGUCGGCCUGGUUUGCGAAAGAGGAAUCCAUCGCCGUGUAGCAGAAAGGCCAUGCGUGGGGGCCCAAGUUGCAGAAAGCAGGCUCUGCACCCCAGCCCUUCCUCCUGGACGCCCCCAUCAUCGUGGGAAAGUCACACUACCCUCUGGGCCUUGGGUUCUUUAUCUCUUUGUAAAAGGGAACCAGUUCCCAGGUCUUUAGAUUGUCAGAGGGUUAAGGCCAGCUCAACCCUUGGGCAUGUGCUGGUUUUCUUUAUAUCCUUCCAGUUAAUGUGAAUUUUCCUGAAAUUGACUGAUUUCUAAGAACACAUAGGAAGUAUUGUGAAAGAUCUUGUCUGUCGUUUGGCCCUAAAACAUGCCAAUCCCCUGUUCAUGAGAAAUACUCUUUAAGGCUGAAUGCCAAGCAAGACCCAUGAGCUACCUUAGUACCUUCCUCUUGAUAAUGCGAUUAUAUCAUAAUGUACUGUCAGAGCGCCUAGUC
rnacentral:lncRNA from 1 species